rnacentral:rRNA from 1 species
UACGUAGGUGGCAAGCGUUGUCCGGAUUUACUGGGCGUAAAGAGCGCGCAGGCGGUCGUCCAAGUCGCGUGUGAAAGCCCCCGGCUCAACUGGGGAGGGUCACGCGAUACUGAUCGACUCGAAGGCAGGAGAGGGAAGUGGAAUUCCCGGUGUAGUGGUGAAAUGCGUAGAUAUCGGGAGGAACACCAGUGGCGAAGGCGACUUCCUGGCCUGUUCUUGACGCUGAGGCGCGAAAGCUAGGGGAGCAAACGGG